rnacentral:rRNA from 1 species
GAUGAACGCUGGCGGCGUGCCUAACACAUGCAAGUCGAACGAAUCAGAUAUUCAACACUGAGCGUUUAGACGAGGGAAUGAAGUUAGCCAGCAUCAAGGACGAACGAUAGAGAGUCCUUGAUGCGUUCAAAAAGUGUGCUAACACAGUAUAGUCUGAAUGUUGAGUGUUGAAUAUCUGAUUAGUGGCGGACGGGUGAGUAACGCGUGGGGAAUCUGCCUCAAACAGGGGGAUAACACAGGGGAAACUUGUGCUAAUACCGCAUAAAACCACAACAUGGCAUCAUGAAGUGGUACAAAAGGAAGAAAAUUCCGGUUUGAGGAUGAAGCCCGCGUCUGAUUAGUUAGUUGGUGAGGUAACGGCUCACCAAGGCGACGAUCAGUAGCCGAACUGAGAGGUUGAUCGGCCACAUUGGGACUGAGACACGGCCCAGACUCCGUACGGGAGCAGCAGUGGGGAAUAUUGCACAAGUGGGGAAA